ACUUUUUCUGUCGAGGGCUUAUAUGCCCCAUUAUUAAACUAUUUUCUUUAGUCAUUGCGCGGUGAUCGCUAUAAGUUUUAAGCUUGUAAAAUAUUAUUAUUAUUAUUUACAGAAUUGUAAAAAUCGACAUUGCUUAACAAAACCAUCGCAUGCACACACACACACACACAC